GACGAACCAUCCAAACGUUAUUCGGAAUUACUGGGCUUAAAGGGUGCGUAGGCGGUGCGGAAAGUUGGGUGUGAAAUCCCUCGGCUUAACCGAGGAAUAGCGCUCAAAACUACCGUGCUCGAGGAAGACAGAGGUGAGCGGAACUUAGGGUGGAGCGGUGAAAUGCGUUGAUAUCCUAAGGAACACCGGUGGCGAAAGCGGCUCACUGGGUCUUUUCUGACGCUGAUGCACGAAAGCUAGGGGAGCAAACGGG
rnacentral:rRNA from 1 species